rnacentral:rRNA from 1 species
GGCGUAGGGCGCGAGCGUUGUCCGGAUUUAUUGGGCGUAAAGAGCUCGUAGGCGGUCUGUCGCGUCGGCUGUGAAAACCCGAGGCUCAACCUCGGGCCUGCAGUCGAUACGGGCAAACUAGAGUACUGCAGGGGAGACUGGAAUUCCUGGUGUAGCGGUGAAAUGCGCAGAUAUCAGGAGGAACACCGGUGGCGAAGGCGGGUCUCUGGGCAGUAACUGACGCUGAGGAGCGAAAGCGUGGGGAGCGAACAGG